UAUAAGGUAAGCUAAUUAAGCUACUGGGCUCAUGACCCAGAAACGAAGGCUAAAACCCUUCCAUUAUAA
rnacentral:tRNA from 1 species